GAUGAACGCUAGCGGCAGGCUUAACACAUGCAAGUCGAGGGGUAUCCUAGCAAUAGGAGAGACCGGCGCACGGGUGCGUAACGCGUAUGCAAUCUACCUUAUACAGGGGGAUAGCCCAGAGAAAUUUGGAUUAAUACCCCAUAGUAUAAUUGAAUGGCAUCAUUUAAUCAUUAAAGUUCCAACGGUAUAAGAUGAGCAUGCGUAUCAUUAGCUAGAUGGUAAGGUAACGGCUUACCAUGGCUACGAUGAUUAGGGGUCCUGAGAGGGAGAUCCCCCACACUGGUACUGAGACACGGACCAGACUCCUACGGGAGGCAGCAGUGAGGAAUAUUGGUCAAUGGGCGCAAGCCUGAACCAGCCAUGCCGCGUGCAGGAAGACGCAUCUAUGGUGUGUAAACUGCUUUUAUACAGGAAGAAACCCUAUCUCGUGAGGUAGAUUGACGGUACUGUAGGAAUAAGGAUCGGCUAACUCCGUGCCAGCCGCCGCCGUAAAAC
rnacentral:rRNA from 1 species